UGCUUUCUCCCUGUGGGUGUCAGGGUGUGAGGCUCUGCUCGCCUCACAGCAAUGACUCAGUUACCCUGGCGAAGGCUUCCAGGAUCUCCCGAGGCUCAAAGAUAAAGAAACUGAGGCACACAGAGGUUAAGUACCUUGCUGAAGGUCACACAUGCAGAGUGGUUUGACUAUGGAACCUAGGCUUUUGAUCAUGACAUUGUACUCCUUUGUGCAGAGUAUCUUGGGCAUAAGAGGCCCCCCAAAAGGAGAGAUAGUGCCCUCAAGAAGAUUAUCAAGAUUAAAUGAAGUAAAAAGGAUGGACCCCUAAUUCAAUAGGAAUGAUGUGAUUAUACGAAGAGAAAGAAACAUCAGGACACAGAGGCAAGACGGUGUGAGGACACAAUGGGAAGGUGACAUCUGCAACUAAGGAGAAGAUUCUGAAUAAACCAAAUCUGCUGACCUCUUAACCUUGGACAUCCAGUCUCUAGAAAAGUGAAUAAAUAAAUUUCUGUUGUUUAAACUA